GAUGAAGAACGUAGCGAAAUGCGAUAAGUAGUGUGAAUUGCAGAAUUCAGUGAAUCAUCGAAUCUUUGAACGCACAUUGCGCCCCUUGGUAUCCCGAGGGGCAUGCCUGUUCGAGCGUCAUUACAACCCUCAAGCUCUGCUUGGUCUUGGGCGUCACCGGUCCCCGGUGUGCCUUAAAAUCAGUGGCGGCGCCAUCUGGCUCUAAGCGUAGUACAUACUCUCGCUACAGACGUCCGGUGGAUGCUGGCCAGCAACCCCCAAUUUAUCAAGGUUGACCUCGGAUCAGGUAGGGAUACCCGCUGAACUUAAGCAUAUCAAUAAGCGGAGGA
rnacentral:misc_RNA from 1 species